GAUGAACGCUGGCGGCGUGCCUAAUACAUGCAAGUCGAGCGAACGGACGAGAAGCUUGUUUCUCUGAUGUUAGCGGCGGACGGGUGAGUAACACGUGGAUAACCUACCUAUAAGACUGGGAUAAUUUCGGGAAACCGGAGCUAAUACCGGAGAAUAUUUUGAACCGCAUGGUUCAAAAGAGAAAGACGGUCUUGCUGUCACUUAUAGAUGGAUCCGCGCUGCAUUAGCUAGUUGGUAAGGUAACGGCUUACCAAGGCAACGAUGCAUAGCCGACCUGAGAGGGUGAUCGGCCACACUGGAACUGAGACACGGUCCAGACUCCUACGGGAGGCAGCAGUAGGGAAUCUUCGGCAAUGGGCGAAAGCCUGACGGAGCAACGCCGCGUGAGUGAUGAAGGUCUUCGGAUCGUAAAGCUCUGUUAUUGGGGAAGAACAGAUGUGUAAGUAACUGUGCACAUCUUGACGGUACCUAAUCAGAAAGCCACGGCUAACUACGUG
rnacentral:rRNA from 1 species